rnacentral:rRNA from 1 species
GAUGAACGCUGGCGGCGUGCCUAAUACAUGCAAGUCGAGCGAACAGACGAGGAGCUUGCUCCUCUGACGUUAGCGGCGGACGGGUGAGUAACACGUGGAUAACCUACCUAUAAGACUGGGAUAACUUCGGGAAACCGGAGCUAAUACCGGAUAAUAUAUUGAACCGCAUGGUUCAAUAGUGAAAGACGGUUUUGCUGUCACUUAUAGAUGGAUCCGCGCCGCAUUAGCUAGUUGGUAAGGUAACGGCUUACCAAGGCAACGAUGCGUAGCCGACCUGAGAGGGUGAGCGCCAACAGGAGAACGGAGACAGGGACAAGACUCCUGGGGGGGGCGGAAGGGGGAAAUCGUCCGCAGUGGGCAAAAGUUUGACGGAACAACGCCGGGUGAGUAAUAAGGGUGUGGGGAUCGAAAAACUCUUUUAGGGGGGAAAAAAAAAUGUGAAAGAAAAUAUGCACGUCUUGAGGUUCCUUAAUAAGAAGCCCAGGGCAAACUACGGC